rnacentral:rRNA from 1 species
ACGAACGCUGGCGGCGUGCUUAACACAUGCAAGUCGAACGGAAAGGCCCUGCUUUUGUGGGGUGCUCGAGUGGCGAACGGGUGAGUAGCACGUGAGUAACCUGCCCUUGACUUUGGGAUAACUUCAGGAAACUGGGGCUAAUACCGGAUAGGAGUUCCUGCUGCAUGGUGGGGGUUGGAAAGUUUCGGCGGUUGGGGAUGGACUCGCGGCUUAUCAGCUUGUUGGUGGGGUAGUGGCUUACCAAGGCUUUGACGGGUAGCCGGCCUGAGAGGGUGACCGGCCACAUUGGGACUGAGAUACGGCCCAGACUCCUACGGGAGGCAGCAGUGGGGAAUAUUGCACAAUGGGCGGAAGCCUGAUGCAGCAACGCCGCGUGCGGGAUGACGGCCUUCGGGUUGUAAACCGCUUUCGCCUGUGACGAAGCGUGAGUGACGGUAAUGGGUAAAGAAGCACCGGCUAACUACGUG